GACGAACGCUGGCGGCGUGCCUAACACAUGCAAGUCGAGCGGAGGUAGUUUGAUGGUAACUGAUAACUACUUUAGCGGCGGACGGGUGAGUAACACGUGGGCAACCUGCCUCGAAGUGGGGGAUAACACCGAGAAAUCGGUGCUAAUACCGCAUAACAUACAUCGGCUGCAUGGUCGAUGUAUCAAAGGAGAAAUCCGCUUUGAGAUGGGCCCGCGGCUGAUUAGCUAGUUGGUGAGGUAACGGCUCACCAAGGCGACGAUCAGUAGCCGACCUGAGAGGGUGACCGGCCACACUGGAACUGAGACACGGUCCAGACUCCUACGGGAGGCAGCAGUGGGGAAUAUUGCGCAAUGGGGGAAACCCUGACGCAGCAACGCCGCGUGGAGGAAGAAGGUCUUCGGAUUGUAAACUCCUGUCUUCUGGGACGAUAAUGACGGUACCAGAGGAGGAAGCCACGGCUAACUACGUG
rnacentral:rRNA from 1 species